CGCUAUCGCUUACUUCCGGUAUACUUCCGGGAAAUUUGCAUAAAACUAGCAAGUGAGCUUUGUUCUCUGUACUAAUCUCAAGAUUGAAUGCUAGGUUGUAGCAAAUAAAAAUGCGAUUUUCAAGUUUUGUGAGCAUCUUAAGUCCAGUCCUUAAUAAUGAGUUUUUAGGCGUGUCUAAUAGAUGGCGUGUUAAUUUAUUGUUUCAGUUUUGGGCUUAUGGCGGUUUGCUGUCAAAAGUUAAUCUUUUCUUCGAAAAUUACCAAUGUAUUUACAGGAGAAAACGUGUUGAAAGGGUCGUGCAGCUUACUGCUGUCAACCAUUUAUGUGUUCAAAAUCAUUGUAUUCUACUGAAGGUGCCAUCAAAAUGAAACAGGAUUCAUCAUAAUUGCCUGCUGUUUGUAUCGGACCAAUCCCAGCCAUGCCCGAUUUUGAGUGUAGACUACUAACUGUUUAAUCAUUUCUAGAUCAUAGAUGUCAAUCACAUUGAUAACACAAACUAUAAACAAGAUUUGAUGAGAAGUCAUAUUUUGAAGGAAAAAGACAAGGACUACACGCAGUAAACAAGGUUCCUUAAUUGCUAACCCGUUGGCUGCUACCCUUCAAUCUCCCUGUUUACUUCCAUACACAGGUCCUAUUGAUUUGAGGGUAACUCUUUCGCUACUGAUGACAUCAACUGUUGUAAACUGACGAGAGAAUGCUGCAAUUCAAGACUAGCAACAUUGUGUAGUUGUUAGAUAAAUGGCAAGUGCAUAUCUGGGCUCCCUUCUUUUCUGUGGCCCCGUUUCCCUAACUAACCACUAACCAACGCC
rnacentral:lncRNA from 1 species